GGGGCAGCAUAAAUUACUUGUAAUUUGAUGGCGACCGGCGAACGGGUGCGUAACGCGUAUGCAACUUACCUUUUACUAGAGAAUAGCCAAGAGAAAUUUUGAUUAAUACUCUAUGUUCUUAUUUACUCGCAUGAGUAAAUAAGCAAAGCUCCGGCGGUAAAAGAUGGGCAUGCGUCCUAUUAGCUUGUAGGUGAGGUAACGGCUCACCCAAGCUUCGAUAGGUAGGGGUCCUGAGAGGGAGAUCCCCCACACUGGUACUGAGACACGGACCAGACUUCUACGGAAGGCAGCAGUAAGGAAUAUUGGACAAUGGAGGAAACUCUGAUCCAGCCAUGCCGCGUGAAGGAAGACAGCCUUAUGGGUUGUAAACUUCUUUUAUACAGGAAGAAACCUUUCCACGUGUGGAAAGCUGACGGUACUGUAAGAAUAAGGAUCGGCUAACUCCGUGCCAGCAGCCGCGGUAAUACGGAGGAUCCAAGCGUUAUCCGGAAUUAUUGGGUUUAAAGGGUCCGCAGGCUGUUUGUUAAGUCAGAGGUGAAAGCCUACCGCUCAACGGUAGAAUUGCCUUUGAUACUGACAGACUUGAGUUAUUGUGAAGUAGUUAGAAUGUGUAGUGUAGCGGUGAAAUGCAUAGAUAUUACACAGAAUACCAAUUGCGAAAGCAGAUUACUAACAAUAUACUGACGCUGAGGGACGAAAGCGUGGGUAGCGAACAGGAUUAGAUACCCUGGUAGUCCACGCCGUAAACGAUGGUCACUAGCUGUUCGAUGUACAUUGGUACGUUGAGUGGCUAAGCGAAAGUGAUAAGUGACCCACCUGGGGAGUACGCUCGCAAGAGUG
rnacentral:rRNA from 1 species